CAGCACCUCAAGUGGUCAGGAUGAUUAUUGGGCCUAAAGCAUCCGUAGCCGGCUCUGUAAGUUUUCGGUUAAAUCUGUAUGCUCAACAUACAGGCUGCCGGGAAUACUGCAGAGCUAGGGAGUGGGAGAGGUAGACGGUACUCGGUAGGAAGGGGUAAAUCCUUUGAUCUAUUGAUGACCACCUGUGGCGAAGGCGGUCUACCAGAACACGUCCGACGGUGAGGGAUGAAAGCUGGGGGAGCAAACCGGAUUAGAUACCCGAGUAGUCC
rnacentral:rRNA from 1 species